CAUAUAUUUUAAAAAAUUGGACUUGGAGCUAUUCUGACAGAUAAUAACAGCCUGCAGUAAGUAUAUUGGUUUAAUACAAGGAAGUGAUCAAUUUAGUGUGAAGGAGCGAAGGACGGAGAAAUAUGCAGAGAGGGGCAGGCCCUGUGAAAAGGAGAAGAUCUCCAUGCGAUGAUACUCUCCUGUCCCAGAUAAAAGAACUAAGAGAAGAUUCAGGAAAGUCCAAGAUCACACAGCUAAGAAAUGUCAGAGCCAGGCUUGGAAGACACUUCUCUGGGAGCCCAGCACGUCGUACCAUCAAGGCACUUUGGGAACCAACCCUGUCCCUGGGGACGAGGAUGGAGACACUGAGUUCAGGAC